rnacentral:rRNA from 1 species
GGUUAACCAACGAAAAAAGACCCACAAAGGUUAACCAGCGACAAAAAAACCUAAACCUAUCGCCCCCUCCCUCGCGCCCCUGUUGCUCCCUCCUCGAUCUCGAUCUGGAUCGAGGGGGCGAGGAGCUCCUGCCUCCCCGACGGCCGGCCUCCUCCUCGCCCUGCCGCUGCGUCCGGCGCUGCCACGGCCUCUGGAGCCAGGGAAGCCAUGGCCUGAGCUCGGCCUCGAGGUCCCCGCCGCCGUCUCCUGCAGCUUCUGCCCCGCCGCCCGAGCUCGCCGUCGCACCAACCUCGGCGCCGCGCCGCCGCCGGCUCUGGUCGCCUCCACCUCCGCUCCAGGCAACCCUCGGUCGCCAGCUCGCUGGAGCACGACGGCAGACGAUGGAUGCCUUGGUUGUGUGCGACGGAUGCAGUUCUCACGCGCAAGCUAGGGUUGGAGCCGCCAGCUCUUCAUCCUGCCCGCCGGCGGCGAGUCUUCCCGUCCCGCACUGCCGCCUCCCCGUUAUCACAGAAGUUGGUGGCAUGGUGAAGCCCCUGAGCAAAAGUUGCAGGAGUCUUUGAAGGAGUUGGAGAAGUCUCUAGCGAUGCAAGUUUGUCUUAAACCUCGUGGCCAGGAUCUCCGCGGUCGGCAUCGGCGUCGGCGUCGUCUACGGCUCCGUCAGGCUCGACAUCCUCAAGGCAACGCUCCAAAUCCCCCAACCCCACGCUCCAAAUCAUUCUCAUUUUUGCACACGGGAAAUAUUCAGGGAAGGAACUUUAGAUGCAAAAUACUGAGAUGCUUUCUGCUUGAAAACUAUAGUCAAAAGUUGAUUCACAGAAGUUCAGAAGUUCAGUCCAGAUGCCAAGGCAUGCUUAGCAUCUCAUAGUCAGAGGCUAUCCUGUCUCAACAUUGCCCCUAUGCAGGUUUUCAAUUUAGGAGAUUAUUUGCACCUAUCCAUUUACUCUAAUGUAUUACAUACUAAUCCUUUUGGAGGCAAGAACGGAAGAAAAAUCUGGUGAUGUCUCCACGAGUCAAGUUAUAUAACCGUUUCUGACUUGAAGGAAUAUUUGUGGGAUUUCAAUCAUUAGGAAGUUAGAGGGCAUCUGCAGCUUGGCAAAGUAGAUGUUGUUGACAUCAAUUAUUAAUUGUUAUUUUAUAACGUUCCAUCAUUUUGUUUUUACACUUUUUGCAGGUACUAGCAAUGUUUUACCAUUGACAGAGCAUUGUGAAUAUGGUAACAGACUACUUGGGUGUUCUGAAAUCGAAUUCUGUAUAUAAUAUAAGUAUAUACCAUGACAUGUGCUACUGCUUCCGAUUAGAUACAAUAGCUUCUCUCUUUUUUUAUUGUACAGCUGAGAUCUUCAUUACAUUACAACCUUAUGUUUUGCUUUUUUUUAAUUGAAAUUGGUGUUCUCUCUCUAGGUUAAUGGAUCAUCCUGGGAAUGGACUAUGGAAUGGCAAACUAACAGGGCACAUCACACAACUGGGUAUUGUCAAUCUACUUACAGACCACUUGCAUUGGGCAAGAGGGUUCUGCUGCGGAGACCAAGAAAAAGGAUGGGAACAUUGGGGACGCCUCAGCUGCCAUCGAUGAACGCAGCUCGGAACAGGCAAAGCUCCAUGCGAGGCUCCCCUGGCUGCCGAGCAUCUCUGAGAAGCCCAAAAUGAGAUGAGAUGAUGUCAUGGUGAUCGACAGUGCCACGCAGAGCUUCUGCCAGCAGCAAGCGAGGUCAUCUCCUUCUUAGACCAGUACUAAGGACCGCUGUUAUGUGGAUCCAUUUUACAUGCAAAUGUCGAGCUCAUCAUAUCGUGUUCGACCCAUGAACUGGAAGGAUUGCUUGCCAUUAUGUGGUAUAGUUGUCCUUUGAGAUAUAUUGUUGUUUGUAUGAAUUAUGAGCUUCUCUGUGUCUAAAUUUACUCAAAUAGUCUUCCAGAAAUCUUGUUUUUAUCCACUUUGGAGUAACUGUUCGUUGCUUGACACUUUGUUGUUAACCCUCAAUUAAAGUUAUUCCUAUAUUCAGUUUGCUAUACCAGUUUAUGUAUACAGAGGAUGUAUUAUGCAUGAUAUUCCUGUGAAAUUUUCGUUGACUGUAUUUGUAAAUUUGUAUGAAGGUGUUAUCAGAUUACCAACUCAUAGAUACAAGUGAUCGAAUAUUAGUCAGUAUAUUACAUUUUUUAUUUGCUUAUUUAUCUAAUAAGUUGUGCCUUUUGGAAUUAUGUCAUCAUAGUGGAAUUUCAAAGAUGUUAGUGAUUACAUCUGAGAUGUAGUAGCGUUAGUUUUGAUGUGAGAUAAAUGCCUGCACAUUUUACUGUUUCUCUUAUGUAUUUUCGAAACGUAGUUUUUUUAUUUGGCGCAUCGCCUGGCAAGUAUAUAUCUACUACUAUUAU